rnacentral:rRNA from 1 species
AACUUUAAAUGGGUGAGAAAAUGGGCUUUCUUAAAUACAAAAUACUAUGAAGCCAAUAUAUAAAUACAUAAAUGAAUCAGAGUGCCAAGUGGGCCAUUUUUGGUAAGCAGAACUGGCGCUGUGGGAUGAACCAAACGCAGAGUUAAAGCGCCAAAAUCGACGCUUAUGGGACACCAUGAAAGGCGUUGGUAACUUAAGACAUCAGGACGGUGGCCAUGGAAGUCGGAAUCCGCUAAGGAGUGUGUAACAACUCACCUGCCGAAGUUACUAGCCCUGAAAAUGGAUGGCGCUAAAGCGUCGUGCUUAUACUCUGCCGUCAGCGGCAUGUGCGACAUCAUUUGUAAUGAGUGAUGUCAUGAAGCCCUGAUGAGUAGGAAGGUCGCGGCGGUGUGCGCAGAAGGAUUAGUCGUGAGACUGUCUGGAGCCGCCGUCGGUGCAGAUCUUGGUGGUAGUAGCAAAUACUCCAGCGAGGCCCUGGAGGACUGACGUGGAGAAGGGUUUCGUGUGAACAGCUGUUGCACACGAGUCAGUCGAUCCUAAGCCCUAGGCGAAAGCCGAUGUUGAUGAAAUGUUAUAAAUUAUUAAAACAGAUUAUAUCACACAUUCAAUGGGCGAAAGGGAAUCCGGUUCCUAUUCCGGAACCCGGUAGCGGAACCGUUUACAAGUCGGGCCCUCGCAAGAGAGUUCGUCGGGGUAACCCAAAAGGACCCGGAGACGCCGUCGGGAGAUCCAGGAAGAGUUUUCUUUUCUGUAUGAGCGUUCGAGUUCCAUGGAAUCCUCUAGCAGGGAGAUAUGGUUUGGAACGCGAAGAGCACCGCAGUUGCGGCGGUGUCUGGAUCUUCCCCUCGGACCUUGAAAAUCCGGGAGAGGGCCACGUGGAGGUGUCGCACCGGCUCGUACCCAUAUCCGCAGCAGGUCUCCAAGGU